UACGUAGGUGGCAAGCGUUGUCCGGAAUUACUGGGCGUAAAGCGUGCGCAGGCGGUUUUGUAAGCCAGAUGUGAAAUCCCCGGGCUUAACCUGGGAAUGGCAUUUGGGACUGCAAGGCUUGAGUGCGGCAGAGGAGACUGGAAUUCCUGGUGUAGCAGUGAAAUGCGUAGAUAUCAGGAGGAAUACCGAUGGCGAAGGCAGGUCUCUGGGCUGACACUGACGCUCAUGCACGAAAGCGUGGGGAGCAAACAGG
rnacentral:rRNA from 1 species